rnacentral:rRNA from 1 species
AACGAACGCUGGCGGCAUGCCUAACACAUGCAAGUCGAACGAGACCUUCGGGUCUAGUGGCGCACGGGUGCGUAACGCGUGGGAACCUGCCCUUAGGUUCGGAAUAACUCCCCGAAAGGGGUGCUAAUACCGGAUAAUGUCUUCGGACCAAAGAUUUAUCGCCUUUGGAUGGGCCCGCGUUGGAUUAGCUAGUUGGUAGGGUAAAAGCCUACCAAGGCGACGAUCCAUAGCUGGUCUGAGAGGAUGAUCAGCCACACUGGGACUGAGACACGGCCCAGACUCCUACGGGAGGCAGCAGUGGGGAAUAUUGGACAAUGGGCGAAAGCCUGAUCCAGCAAUGCCGCGUGAGUGAUGAAGGCCUUAGGGUUGUAAAGCUCUUUUACCCGGGAUGAUAAUGACAGUACCGGGAGAAUAAGCGACGGCUAACUCCGUG